rnacentral:rRNA from 1 species
GUUGAUCCUGCGGGAGAUUGCUGCUAUUGGAAUUCGACUAAGCCAUGCAAGUCCAGGGGCCGCAAGGCACCGGCAGACUGCUCAGUAACACGUCGAUAAUCUAACCUAGGUUCGGGAUAGCCUUGGAAACUGAGGGUAAACCCGAAUAGGAGAAUUUUUCUGGAAUGAUUUUUCUCUUAAACGCAUGGCCUAAGGAUGAGUCGGCGCCUGAUUAGGUUGUUGGCGGGGUAAUGGCCCACCAAGCCGAAGAUCAGUAGGGGCCCUGAGAGGGGUAGCCCCGAGAAGGGCACUGAGACACUGGCCCUAGCCCUACGGGGUGCAGCAGGCGCGAAACCUUUACAAUGCACGAAAGUGUGAUAAGGGAAUUCCAAGUGCUUACGUUAUGCGUAGGCUUUUGCCAAGAGUAAAUAUCUUGGCGAAUAAGUGGUGGGAAAGACUGGUGCCAGCCGCCGCGGUAACACCAGCGCCACAAGUGGGGAUCACUUUUAUUGGGCCUAAAGCGUCCGUAGCCGGUUCAGUAAAUCCUUUGUGAAAUCGUCUUGCUUAACAUGACGGCGAGCAGGGGAAACUGCUGGACUAGAGACCGGGAGGAGUCAGAAGUAUUAAGGGGGGAGCGGUAAAAUGCAAUAAUCCCCUUAAGACUACCUGUGGCGAAGGCGUCUGACUAGAACGGUUCUGACGGUGAGGGACGAAAGCCAGGGGAGCGAUCCGGAUUAGAUACCCGAGUAGUCCUGGCCGUAAACUCUGCGAGCUAGGUGUUGCAUAUUCUUCGGGAAUAUGCAGUGUCGAAGCGAAGGCGUUAAGCUCGCCGCCUGGGAAGUAUGGUCGCAAGACUGAAACUUAAAGGAAUUGGCGGGGGAGCACUACAAGGGGUGCGGCGUGCGGUUUAAUCUAACUCAACGCAGAGAAUCUCACCAGAAGCGACGGCAGGAUGAAAGUCAGAUUGAAGGUCUUACUUGACGAGCCGAGAGGUAGUGCAUGGCCGUCGUCAGCUCGUGCCGUGAGGUGUCCUCUUAAGUGAGGUAACGAGCGAGACCUGUACCUACAAUUGCUAGCGAAUCCAUCGGAUGAUCGUGCACAUUGUAGGGACUGCCCUGGAAACAGGGAGGAAGGUGCAGGCUACGGUAGGUCUGUAUGCUCCGAAUCUUCUGGGCUACACGCGCGCAACAAUGGUAGGAACAAUGGGAUGCCACUCCGAAAGGAGAAGCUAAACCUCAAAAUCCUAUCCAAGUCCAGAUUGAGGAUUGUAACUCAUCCUCAUGACGACGGAAUCCCUAGUAAUCGGACGCCAACAUCGUCCGGUGAAUGUGUCCCUGCUCCUUGCACACACCGCCCGUCAAACCAACCGAGCAGGGUUUAGAUGAGUCUUGGCUUUUUAGCCCAGCCGAAUCUAAGCUCAGUGAGGUGGGUUAAGUCGUCACAAGGUA